rnacentral:rRNA from 1 species
UACGUAGGGGGCAAGCGUUGUCCGGAAUCAUUGGGCGUAAAGCGCACGUAGUCGGCUUUGCAAGUCGGGUGUGAAAUCCCCGGGCUCAACCUGGGAACUGCAUCCGAGACUGCAUUGCUAGAGUAUGGGAGAGGGAAGCGGAAUUUCUGGUGUAGCAGUGAAAUGCGUAGAUAUCAGAAGGAACAUCAGUGGCGAAGGCGGCUUCCUGGACCAAUACUGACGAUCAGGUGCGAAAGCGUGGGGAGCAAACAGG